rnacentral:rRNA from 1 species
UACGUAGGGUGCAAGCGUUGUCCGGAAUUAUUGGGCGUAAAGAGCUCGUAGGCGGUUUGGUAGGUCCGUUGUGAAAACUCGAGGCUCAACCUCGAGACGCCGAUGGAAACCAUCAGACUAGAGUCCGGAAGAGGAGAGUGGAAUUCCUGGUGUAGCGGUGAAAUGCGCAGAUAUCAGGAAGAACACCCGUGGCUAAGGCGGCUCUCUAGUACGGUACUGACGCUGAGACGCGAAAGCGUGGGGAGCGAACAGG